rnacentral:lncRNA from 1 species
GUACAAGAAUUGCAUUAAGAAAGAGUAAGAGUUAUUCUGUGACUUAUUUCCAUAAUGUAGAAGUGAAGUAGCAUGAGUACAGGUAGGUAUUUUUUAAAACUUUUUCAGUAAUAAUUAAAAUAUGCUAGAUGCAGCUUUAAAGAAAUAGAAUAAACCAGAUUCUGUUGGAGGUAGUUAUUUUCAUUCUUGUUCAUUUUUAAUUUUCCGUAUUGAUAGGCACUUUGUCAGUCAGUCUUAGCAUAUGUCUCCUUUGGAUGGCUGCUGCUUAAACUUUCAAAUCUGGUCAUAGCUAACAUAAACCAGGUUUCAGUUAGAAACUCCAUGUUGACCAAUUUUAUAUUAAAUCAUUU